GUUAAAAAGUAAAAAUGAAAGAGAGAAAUCCCAACAAAAUUCGACGCGGGCGGCCGCGGAGUCUUCUUCGUCUUCUCGCGCUCUGAGCUUAGUAAAUCCGAAACUCAAAACCUCUAUUGUUCGUCGUGGUGACAAUGGCGGCUAACAACAAUAAUGGGGAUAUCCUAAUGCUCGAAGCUCCACCGCAGCCAUCUCAACCAGCUUGGCGCGUUUCUGCAGAUGCGGAGGUUAUCGACGCUUUGCCCUACAUUGACGACGACUAUGCCGACCCAAGGGUCAAAGCAGAGGUCGAUCGCUUGGUCGAGGAAGAGAUGCGGCGUAGCUCCAAACGACCCGCCGACUUUCUCAAAGACUUGCCUCCUCUUCCUAAGUUAAAAUUCGAGGAUCAUCCGAUGCUUGCUAGAGAGUAUGAGCGUGUAAGAGCUGGGAGGCCUCCAGUCCCUCUUGAUGUUGCAAGAUAUAAAUUAGAGACACCACCUCCAAAUAAAAAGAAUGACGAAACUGCUUGGAAGCAGACACUUCAGAAAGCUCAAUGCUUGCUCCGUCAUCAAGUGCUGAGGCUGGAAAAUUUGGAUCUGAUGUCAAAAUAUGGCCCUGAUAUCUGGAAGCAACACAACAAACAACUGGAAGCACUUCUAUCAAGAAUGCAAAAAUUAGCUCAGGAACAGAAUGAGAAGAUUGAAAAAGUGAACCGUGAAAGGAAAUUCCAUCAACAAAACGCUGCAUAUGAGCUUCAUGCUCUGUCCACGCAAUGGAAGGAGCUUUGUGAGAAAAAUAUGGAAAUCCAAGUGGCAUGCUUUCAAUUAGAGGGUCAAAUCCAGGAAUUAAGGAGAGAAGCAGCAGAAAAGGGCUGGAAUUUGGAAGUCAAUGUAGAAAAUGGUUCUGUUUCCCUUCCAGUAUCAUAAGGGGAGCGUCUUAACCAUGGUUUUUGCUACUCAAAAGUAAAGACUCCCAACGUCUUUUGUUGCCGUUAUGAUAUGCCUACAUGGAAGAUGAGUUAGAUUUCUGCUUAUUAUAAGAGGUGUUAUUCCUUUGAGUUCUAAGGAGAUUAGAGAGAUAUAUUCGCUUUAUUCCAUAGAUUCUUUUGCUGGGACAAAUGGCAGUGGAUAUUUUAGCCAAGUCUAAACAUUUUUUUUUUCAAUUGGAUUGAGAUUGAUGUUCAUUUUUUCAAACUUAAAAGAAAUCCAAUCAAUCGAUAAGUACGGUUCGAAUUGAUUGUAGAUAUGGCAGAUAAAAUGUGGCUUCUUAAUGUUAAACCAGCUGUUCAAUCUGGAUUUGUGUUAUGAAUUUUAAAAUAAUGUUUAGAGGUGUUGUGUGUAUAAUCUAUGCGUGUUACAUCUAAAAUACUUCGAUGCUUAAGAUAGUAUUUAGCUUGCCUACUUUAGUAGUGAAUACAUUCCUACUAUAUACCUACGCUCUACUUCUGACUAGUGUGUCACGUAUUGUAUGGUGCACAUGUGAGUGAAUGAAGUGCGAUCUUACACUUUGACUUGGCCUAAUUAUCUAAUGACUUUUCAAGUUCUCAUGGUCAUUCCAUUGUCAAUUUUGUUUAAAGGACAAUGUAGCUUUGCAGAAUUCUUGAUCACUAGAAUUGAUUGAAUAGAACAUAGUUCAAACUAGAAGUUGAACCAUAUAGCUCAAAUUCUAAAUUUAAUACAAUAUAAUUUGAAUCAUUUAUAUUUGUUACUUUUUAAAACAUAUUUGGCGAAUAAUUGAACCAUGCAUUUCACUAUUCAGCCAUUCUCAUUUUUUCUUUUCAAAUAUCAAUGGGAUAUGCUAAAAAAUAGUUAUGAAAUAAUAAUAAUAAUAAUAAUAAUAAUAAAGAUUAAAACAUGUGAAAGGGUAGAGAUCUUAUUGUCUUCACUGUUGAAAAAAAUAUGAACCUCAAUCCAUUUUUCACUUUACAAGUCAAUUUCACCUUCAUAAAGUUGAACUUCAAAUUAAUUUAGAUAAUUGUAAAUAUAGAGACCUGACUUCAAAAUUUCUCAGCUCAAGAUUUAAUAUUUCAUGAGUUUUUUUUAAUAAUAUAUAAGUUGGUUUGAUAUUUAUAAGUAUUAAAAGAACGAAGGAGCACAAGAAAACAAGUGACUAAUAGGUCAAGGGGGAAUGAAAGGCUAGAAAGAUGUAGCUUUUAAAUGUGAGUAUUCAUUCUCAUCCACACAAAGCAGUGGUGAUGGUUUUGAUUUAACUCUCUUCUCCUCCUUCCAUUCCAUUCCUUUCCAUGGCUUCUUCUCCAUUUCCCAAUUCUCUCCUCUUUCACAAGACCUUCCAUUCCCCUGCUCCUGCAUUUCGUACAUGGCGGGUCUAUGCAGCUCAAGCUCCCAACAACGACCGCCGACGACCUCCACCGGGUGUCGACACAAGAAUUCAUUGGCAAAACGAAGAAGAAGGAUGGAUUGGAGGCAAGAAAAAGGAGAGUAAUGAUCAAAAUAAUGAGAGUAAUAAUAUGUUGGGUCCAAGUUUGGCAGACUUGCUCAACAACUCGUCUGACUCUCACUACCAGUAAGUGAGUAAUGGUUUUUUUGCUUACUUAAUUAGGUUAGUCUUAUUAUAUAUUCUUCCAUCUCAUCUAGGCGUGUCCAAAAGAUACAAACAAAUCCAACUCACUCAAUCCAGUGUUUUGGUUGGAUUAUCUGCUCGAACUGGAUUCAAAUAAAUGAUUUUUUUUUAAAUUAAA